rnacentral:rRNA from 1 species
UACGAGAGCCUCAAGCGUUAUCCGGAAUUAUUGGGCGUAAAGGGUGUGUAGGCGGCAAUGUUAGUCUGAUGUCAAAGCCUUCCCGCUUAACGGGAAGAUCGCAUGGGAAACGGCAUAGCUAGGAGGGUGCGAGAGGUGAAUGGAACUCACGGUGUAGGGGUGAAAUCCGUUGAUAUCGUGGGGAACGCCAAAAGCGAAGGCAAUUCACUGGCGCAUACCUGACGCUGAAACACGAAAGCCAGGGUAUCGAAUGGG